CACGUAGGGGGCGAGCGUUGUCCGGAAUUAUUGGGCGUAAAGCGCGCGUAGGCGGUUACUCAAGUCGGAUGUGAAAGCCCUCGGCUUAACUGAGGAAGUGCACCCGAAACUGAGUAGCUAGAGUACUAAAGAGGGUCGCGGAAUUCCCGGUGUAGAGGUGAAAUUCGUAGAUAUCGGGAGGAACACCGGUGGCGAAGGCGGCUUUCUGGGUCUUACCUGACGCUGAGGAACGAAAGCCAGGGGAGCGAACGGG
rnacentral:rRNA from 1 species